rnacentral:lncRNA from 1 species
CCUUACAGAAACUUACUUUUCUACUCUGAUGCUUUUGCAAAUAAAUGUUCCUACAAAAGUGCUUCUUCAUCUUCCAGACGACUCAUGGGAAGGACUCUAACAAGUACAAGUUUCUGAUAACUUCCAGACCACACCACUGAGUAAGAAUUGGCAGAGCUCUAAGGGAAAGACUGACAGUUUCAUAAAACUAACAAAAGAUCAAGAUCAACAAGAAUUAGUUACAUUGGACUGAAUGAACUGAUAGAGAUGAUUUUGUAAUUUUUAUGACUUUUGUUUGAAACACUGUGGUGUUGUUUUUCUAGAGUUAGGAAAAUCUGUCUUUUCUGUUAAACUAUCAUUACUUUGGUAAAAUGUACCUUUGUAAACAAAGAUGAAACAUUUAUCUUUUCUCCUUAUCUGAUUCCUCCAGAAUUUGGAAACUGCAUUCUUAUUUUCAUGGAGAUACAGUUAUUUGCUUAAGUUCAAUAGGAAUCUGUUCUCCUUGCAACAGGACACAAUUGGAAACAUUGGUUAUAUGACCAAGACUUUGAUGAAAUGUCAUAUUUGAGAAUAUGCAUAAAAUCAGAUGUGAGAAGAUAGUUUGAAGGAACUAAAGUUGACUUAUGGAGCCAAAAAAGUCCCUGGGAACAAAGAGCCUGGCACCUUGCUUACAGAGUUCUCAGCAACCUUAGCAGGUGAGUAAGGCAGGUCACUUCCUGGCAGGCCCAGGAACUUCAAGAUAUCCUGGGGACCUCAUGAAGAGAAGAAUUCACCCAAACAGAUAGGUAUUGCAAGUGAAGUCUGAUGGUGAGUUCUUGGCAUGGCUUCUUAGCCUGGAGAGGCUAUAAAAGUCCUAUCUAAGACUCCCUCUGAAAAGUUCCAGAAAAGCAGAUUUUUAAAAGGUCUAAUGUGGUCAAUCGCUAUUCUUGCUGCACUUAUGUAAAUAAUCAGGCCAACUUUAAUAAGAUUAGAUUUAUUACGCAAACAAAUUAGUCUUACUGUAAUUAUCUUUAUUAGAAAUAGGGGCGCCUGGGUGGCUCAGUCAGUUAAGUGCCCGACUUUGGCUCAGCUCACGAUCUCACUGUUUGUGAGUUCGAGUCCCGUGUCGGGCUCGAACAGCUCAGAACCUGGAGCCUGUUUCAGAUUCUGUGUCUCCCUCUCUCACUGUCCCUCCCCCACUCACACUCUGUCUGUCUCUCUCUCUCUCAAAAAUAAAUGUUAAAAAAAAUAUUUUUUAAAGAAAUGAGGGUGAUGUAGAACAAACACUGUGUUUCAGUAGAGGAUUAUAACACAACCUAUAGAUAUCAGAUUCGACUCCUGUUCAUUGUCUUUGAGGUUUUAUUUUAUAUAUAUAUUUAUAUAUUUAUAUAUAAAUAUAUAAAUAAAAUAUAAAUUAUAAAAUUUUAUAAAAUUUAUAAAUUAUAAAAUAUAAAAUCUAAAUUAUAUAUAUUUAUAUAUAUUUAUAUAUAUAUGUAUAUAUAUACUUAAAAUAUCCCCUGUUUUCUCCCACCCUUCUUUUUUUUUUUUUUUUUUUUUUUUUUUUUUUCAACGUUUAUUUAUUUUUGGGACAGAGAGAGACAGAGCAUGAACGGGGGAGGGGCAGAGAGAGAGGGAGACACAGAAUCCGAAACAGGCUCCAGGCUCUGAGCCAUCAGCCCAGAGCCCGACGCGGGGCUCGACGCGGGGCUCGAACUCCCGGACCGCGAGAUCGUGACCUGGCUGAAGUCGGACGCUUAACCAACUGCGCCACCCAGGCGCCCCUCUCCCACCCUUCUGAUUUGGAUCACAGAGGCUGCCCUUGAAGCGCCUUAUAAGGGACCAUACCUCAGGCUCUCCCCACAACCCAACAGCAGCCGUACUUUAGUGAUUUGAACCUUGGGUCCCAUCCCCCAAAUGUAAGGGACUCAUUUAGACACUUGGAUCUGCAUACCAGCUGGAGAUCUUAAAUUAAAAUUAACUAGGGAGGUUCCUUCCCAGAAUUAGACAACAUCUUGAGACAGACAGCUCUCCCAAGGUCGUGAAUCAAGGUUUUCAACCCCAAUAUGAAACUUUUACUCCUUUCGCCUUUUUGCUCCUUGCUUCCUCUCCGUGUUAACGCACAGGAAGGCAACGCUCCUUCAUUCUGGCGGCUGUCACUGAAUCUACUGCUGAGUCCACAGCUGUACAACCAAAGUCCCCAAACACUCUUGCUAAGGUGGGUUUUUCUUAAUGUUUAUUUAUUUAUUUUGACAGAGAGAGGGAGAGAGAGCACGCACACAAGUCGGGGGGGGGGGGGGGCAGAGGAGGAGAGGGAGAAAGAGUCCCAAGCAGGCUCUGCUCUGUCUGCGGGGAGCCUGAUGCGGGGCUCGAUCCCAAGAACCAGGAGAUCACGACCUGCGCCGGAAUCCACAGUGGGAAGCUUAACCCACUGGGCAACCGAGUUGGUCACCCAGGUGCCCCAAGGUGGUUUUGGAUAACAGAAUUGCUUUAUGUUACUUACUGGAUGAACAAAGAGGAAGCUGGAUCAUUGUACCUGGACCAUUACCUCCGGUACUGCAACACAUACAAGAAAUUAACAAGUCCCUUGGUUAAAACAGGUUGAUGACCCCCACCCCGUGUACAUUCUUUGAUUUGUUUGAUAUCAGCUGGGUGGUUCAUGGAGGCCCUGGCUAAGGGGGAAACUUCAGUCUCUUGGUACCAGCCUCCCAACAGUCAUCACUGGAGUCUCCCUGGAGCACCAGCUUCUCUCCAAGGUCCUAAAUGCAUGUUCACAGCCAUCCACAGUAUAUCACAUGGUCUCUCUGAGCGUGGAGAAAUAGAAAAAAGGAAGCAGCCAGAUGAACAAGAUGAAAAACAAUUCUUCCACAGAUCUGCCCUCACAACUUAGGAGUGUCACAAGGACACGAGAGCCACUUAACUCUCACGGUGACCGGAGAGUGGCGCCCAUACCAACUUUUUGGUCAAUCUCUCAUGGAUGAGAGGAUGGCCAAAAGAGGGAAAGUGUUUAAUUAAACGAGGACAGUAGACCAAUAAUGCUCUCAGGCCGUGGCAGCCUACAUAAAAAGCAAACCAAAACCCAAGGCUCUAAAUGCCUCAAAGUUACAAAAUCAAAAUGCUAAAAGCAACCAAUCAUGAACAGCUAACUAAACUCUAAGCUAUAGCCAAUCAAUUAACUUUCUUACCUUUUUCUGUUACCUUAAUUUUCUUUCUCAUGUUCCCCAAACUCCUGUUGGUGAAACACUCCCAAUCAAUCCGUGUUCCAAUAAACUCAAGAUGUUUAAUAUGCUUCAGUCUACCUUUUAACAAAAUAGAUAUUUGGUCUUCAUCCCUGUUCCCGGCACAGAGCCCCUAAAGCCCUUAAAAAUUUUUCCUAAAUGAUGAGAGGCCUAAAGGUGUCUUCUGCUGUGUUAAUGAAGUGACUUUUGGACCACACCUAAGGAAGGGGCCGGCUGCCAGGAGAAUCAAGCCUGUGAUUAGAAGGCUGGACCUUUUAGUCCCCUCCUGGGCCUCUGCAGAGGAAAGAGGGGCUGGAGGCUGAAUCAACUGGCAAAGGCUGAUGACUUCGUCAUUCAUGCCCGUGUAAUGAACUCUCCAUGAAAACCCAAAAGGAUGGGGUUCAGAGAGCUUCUGGGCUGAUGCUGAAUCUGGGACCUGGGGAGCCUGGCUUGCUCAGAGAGGGCUGAGAAGCUCCUCACCCCUUCCCCACACCAUGUCCUCUUGGCCUCCUCCAUCUGACUGUUCCGAGUUACAACUUUUUAAGAUAAACCUAGAAUCUAGUAAGUAAAAUGUUUCUCUGAGCUCUGUGAGCCUCUCUAGCAAACUAACUGAACCCAAGGAGUAGGUCACUGGAACCUCCGAUCUACAGUCAGCUGGUCAGAAGCACAGGUCACAAUCUGGGCUUGUGACUGGCAUCUGAAAUGUAGGGGAGACAGUCUUGCAGGACUGAGCACUUAGCCUGUGGGAUCGUACUCCCUCUCCAGGUAGGUAGUAUAAGGACUGAGCUAAAUACCCAGCUGGGUACCCAGCCGGUGCCUGAGAACUGCUUGUUACUGAGGGAGGGAAGGGGAACCCACAAUGGAAUUGGGUGCAGAAUCAGGAGGUAUGAGCGAUGAAAGAGAAGGAAGGGUCUCAAAUCUAUCUGAGCUUUGUGUUUUGUGACACUAGAUGGAUGGGGCCUUCAAAGUCACUGACUAAAGGUGUGAUGGGUGUUACCACACUGCAGCACUCCAGGGGGCACCCUCCACCUUGAAGUCAAUGCCGGUGGUGUCCCCUGGACUUGUGCACAAGCAGCUACCCCGUGAGACAUGUGACCCACAGACAAGAUGUGGCUGCCUGACCUGGGCCCAAUUUCCCCCUAUCGUUUUCCUCCUAGUGCACCUGACGGCCGUCAUCAAUGAAACCUGUGCCCAAAGCCCAAUGGAAUCAAGUGUUUCAUGUUUCCCUGUUCAAGUUAAACCCCGCCCACUGAAAUCACAUGACGAGCCUGGCCUUUCAGAGGGAUCUGGACAAAAG